AGUGAACGCUGGCGGUAGGCCUAACACAUGCAAGUCGAACGGCAGCACAGUAAGAGCUUGCUCUUACGGGUGGCGAGUGGCGGACGGGUGAGGAAUACAUCGGAAUCUACUUUUUCGUGGGGGAUAACGUAGGGAAACUUAUGCUAAUACCGCAUACGACCUACGGGUGAAAGCAGGGGAUCUUCGGACUUUGCGCGAUUGAUUGAGCCGAUGUCGGAUUAGCUAGUUGGCGAGGUAAAGGCCCACCAAGGCGACGAUCCGUAGCUGGUCUGAGAGGAUGAUCAGCCACACUGGAACUGAGACACGGUCCAGACUCCUACGGGAGGCAGCAGUGGGGAAUAUUGGACAAUGGGCGCAAGCCUGAUGCAGCCAUACCGCGUGGGUGAAGAAGGCCUUCGGGUUGUAAAGCCCUUUUGUUGGGAAAGAAAAGCAGCAGGUGAAUACCCCGCUGUUCUGACGGUACCCAAAGAAUAAGCACCGGCUAACUUCGUG
rnacentral:rRNA from 1 species